rfam:Oryza rufipogon genomic scaffold, chr03
AGUAAACGCAGUCUUGAAUUUUCCUGUCCAACUUUGAUCAUCCGUUUAUUUAAAAUUUUUUUAUGAUUAGCAUUUUAUUGUUAUUAGAUUAUAAAACAUGAGUUAUACUUUAUACGUAACUUAUGUUUUAUAAGUUAUUUGAAAAAAAUUUCAAAUAAGAUGAACGAUUAAAGUUAGACACGAAAAAUCAUGGAUACGCUUAUU